CCACAAAAAUUGAAUCUAUUGUAUUUAGUUCCAUCAAGAAAACAUGGUUUACUCUUCUUCCCAUCUUCCAUUGCUAUUAUUCACUCUUUUCCAAUUAAUUGUAAUUCAAAACCAUUUGUUUUGCAAAGCUGAUCCUACUGAUGGUUUCACUCCCAUAUCUAUUAGCCAAAGCAAUUUCGAAAUUCAAAAGCCUUAUGAUGUGCCUGUGAAUCAAAGGUAUUCCUUCAUUGAUGGAGUACACAAAUUUUGGGUUUACAAGACUGACAAGCCUCACACUACCUCUAGCCAAACAAAACCCCGUUCUGAAAUUCGUAUAACGGGAAAUGAUUAUUCAUCAGGUGUUCGACAAUUUGAGGGAUAUUUCUAUGUGCCAAGUGGUUCAUCUGGUGUGUCAAUAAUGCAAGUAUUUGGAGCAUCACCAUCAUCCACAACUUUAAUGUUAAGAGUUUACGAUGGAACUCUCUAUUACUAUAGAGAAAAAAGUUAUUGAAUCAAAUAUUUAUAAUAGAUGGAUAAGAUUAAAUGUGAUUCAUGAUGUUGGUGCAAGUAAAUUAAAGGUUUAUAUUAAUGGAGUUCUCAAGCAUGAACCAUCAGGAAGAGGUGGAGACCAUCAUUAUUUCAAAUUUGGAGUUUAUACACAAGACAAUGAAUCUGAUCGAAUGGAAUCUCGUUGGAGAGGGAUUAAACUUUUCAAGAAAUAAACAUCUAUCACUUGUAGUGUUUUAAUAUGAUCGAGUGGACUAGCUCUAUAUGGAUCAUGAAACAUAUAUAAUCUUGUUUAUGUAAUUUCAUUUAAUUUAGAAAUAUGAUGUAUUAAGACGAAUAAAUCAUCCUCUUAGAUUUAUGAUCAUGAGGUUGAGUUGAAUAAGAUUUUAUAAUAAUAAAUGAAACAAGCUUCAUCUUGCA